GGACUACUCGGGUAUCUAAUCCGGUUUGCUCCCCCAGCUUUCGUCCCUCACUGUCGGAGCCGUUCUGGUGAGACGCCUUCGCCACAGGUGGUCCCCCAAGGAUUACAGGAUUUCACUCCUACCCCUGGAGUACCCCUCACCUCUCCCGGUCCCUAGAUUGCCAGUAUCUCCUGAACGCCCAUCGGUUGAGCCGGUAGAUUUCCCAGGAGACUUAACAACCCAGCUACGGACGCUUUAAGCCCAGUAAUAGCGGCCACCACUCGAGCCGCCGGUAUUACCGCGGCGGCUGGCACCGGUCUUGCCCGGCCCUUUCUUCACCAGUUAUUUACACUGAUGGACAGCCCGAAUUUACGGGCACUCGGGGUUCCCUUAUCACGAUUUCUCGCAUUGUAAAGUUUUCGCGCCUGCUGCACCCCGUAGG
rnacentral:rRNA from 1 species